rnacentral:lncRNA from 1 species
UAUUAAAUUAUUUUAAAACUUUAUCCAAAAUUAUUAAAUCAUUUAAAAAGCUUAUCUUAAAAUAUUUAAUAAGCAUUCCAAAUGAUUCAAUUCCAAAGUUACCUUUAUAUGUUUAUUUACUAAAAUGAAAAGGGAUUUUAAAGAGAAUUUAAAAUUUAAAGCCACAGUAGUCAACCUGAAAGCAUAGCUGACUGUGUCUGUUUCAACUAUUUCGAGAUUAAAUUUAAAAUUCACUUUGAAUUAAGUUUUAAUUUACAUGUUAGUAAAUAACACUGUUAACGUUUAUGGGAAUGCUUGAAGAUAAAUCAGUUGGAAUUUUUUUUUUUUUUAACAUUACUGAAUCAUUUGGAAAGCUUACUAAACUGGAGUCUUUACUUAGCCAACAUUAUAUAAUGGAAUGAUAAUUUUGGUUAUAUUUAGUUAUUUUAUUGAGGCUAAAAAAAGAGUAGGUUAUAUCUUGGAGUUUGGUAUAAUUAGUAUACAGCACCAUAAUACUAAGACACACUGCACUACAUUUCACAUUAUAAAACCAUUCUCUGACCCUGCACCAGUUGCUAAAAUACUGAAAUUGAAUGUCGUCAUUUAUGCAACCAUUGCUUUAUUAUUCUCUAUGCUCUAACCAUCUGCACUAUGCUCUUUAAUCAAAGUUGCUUCUGUCAAUGUCCUUGACUAUUGUAAUUUAAACAAAACAUCUUGUAUAAUGGUUGAAUACAAGCAAUCACUCCUCAAACCAGCAGAAACACUUUGUACAUCUCAACGCUCAUUCUAAUGCUUGCUUUUAGUAUUAUUUUUGACCAAUCGGAAAAAAAUGUGGUUUGGGGCAAAUUUACAAGGUUUUGAGAUGUCACAAUCAUCAGGAUAAACUCAUUUAAAUGUAAUUUUCUAUAUUAAUCUAUGGAGUUGGGUUGUUUACUGUAUUUCAAACGUGCCUACAAAUUGCACAAUUUGGAUAUAAUAUUUCAAUAUUUACAAAUGAAAAGUCAAAUGCACAAAAUGACGAGUAAGAACUGAAAUGUAAACCCCUAAGUAAUAAAUUUCCAUGCUCAUUAUAGGAGUUUAGGUUAUCCUGAAAUACUGAACAGAAUCUGAAUCAACUCAAAAUGUGUCAAAUUAUUUGCAGACUGGGGAGUCCAGCACAUUGUUCUUUGUCCAUUGACUUAGUAAAUAGCCUUUAAAGUUUCCCCAAAAUCCCACUGGCUUACAUAAAACCUGUUAAAAGGUCCCUUUAACCCACAACACAAACAGCCUAUAAAGGGUCCUUAUAUCCUUUAAUAGUCUUCAGAAAAACAGGACUGGUAACCCCACUCUCUGUACCUAAUGUUCAUAUAAUAAUAUAAUAGAAAAAAGGUACAAGAGGUAAGGGAUUAUAAAAACAAGGGAUCCCAGGAACAUAGAUCCGAUGGUGGUGAUUUCAAUAUGUUUCAUGGCUUAUGAACGGAAUGGAAUUAGUGCAAUUGCCUCCUAUUAGGAUCCUCAAUACACAUUGGGAUGUGGAUAAGCCAAGGGUUCACAAGACACCAACUCCUUCCCAAUUAAACCUCCACACAAAGUAGACCACCAAGUAGGUGCCCACAUGUUCCCUAACAUUAAUUUUGCCAACCAACUUCUUUUCAUUAGUGUGUCAGGGAAUUCCCACCAUUCAGAGCUAUGUGGUCAGUAGACCUGUUGAAGACUAUUAUAAAAAAAAACAAAAAAAACUUUCCUUCUAUACUCAGUGUAGUUAAAUGUUGUCCACGUAUCUUAAUUUCUUAGUAUAAGCAUGGAUUAAAAUAUAAACCUUCAGACAUGUACAACAAUACUUGACUCAAUUAAAAAUACCCCCUUCUCUUUUAACAAAAUGGUCUGUGUGUGACUGGACUAGGGUCUGGGACUAAGCACUUCGUUUUAUUUCAGUUACUAAUAGUAAAGGGAUACAUUAAAUAAAACACUAUGUAGAUUAUUGCACAGUAAGAAGUUACAACACUUACAAAUAUUGGCUUGCUACAUACCUUGCAACAAAGAUCCAGCGAAUUAUAAAAACACCGGAAAUGUCAAAAUCUUAGAUAACAUCGAGCAUUUUUUUUAAUGUACUCUUUAAUUUUGGUUUGCUGUUAUGAAAUGUUUGUAUGUUUAAGAACAAUCAAUAAGGGAGCUGUUAUAUAUAAUAUAUAAUUCCUCGAUUUACAUGUUGUUCAGUCUAUAACAAUGUUGGUCGUGUUGCUCCAAUAGACUGAAUGUAUUUAAUAUUUAAUUUGAAUAUUUUUUUAAAUAAUUUUUCCAGUAAUCAAAGUUAAUUCAGAUACAUUAGAAGGAGAUUCAGUUGAGAUUUAUUCAGAGUUGGGAUACUAGAACAUAUCAUCUUUUCGAGCUGUUGAAUUGGGCAUGGCUGGUAUGUGGUAUAUAGUAAACAAAUGCUGUAAGAGGGAAAUUGAUUAACUAAUCAAGGCAGCUACUUUGAUUACUCCUAAAUCGAUUAUUUUCUUUUCUUUCUGCAGUAUAUUAAUUCUAUAUACUUCCCCCUACACUGAAUUAAUGUAAAAUGUUAAUGAAUUUCACCUAAAUUUCAGAGUUUGAAUUGGUUCAUUUGAUUUUGGCCAAAUUUGCUGCAACCUUUUCAGCCUCAGAAAUCAUUGAUUUGAUCAAAAAUGAGUCUCGUUGUAAUAAAACCAGAGUUUUGUAUUGUUUGUAAAUACUUUGAAUUAUACACUCAAAAAAGAAUACACUUGGUAUUAAAAGGAUAAUAUGCCAAAUGCAAUGUUUCUGUGUAAUCUUUCUAACAAAAUAUCUAUAAAGAUUAAAUGUCACUGGUUUGGACGACUUGAUUAGAUUAGAUGGUUUUCGACUUAAUACCAAACUAUUCUAUUGACAAAUAUUUCAAUUACAGGCAAAUUUCGGAAAUUUAAAAUGUAUGUCAUCAUGACCAUUUUCAUUUUUAUUUUCUACUUUUACAGUUUACACAGAAGGAGCUAAAUUAGUCAUAUAUUUAUGUUUCCUGCAGGUCAUUGUAAAGGGCAUCUGUCAU